rnacentral:rRNA from 1 species
UACGAAGGGGGCUAGCGUUGCUCGGAAUCACUGGGCGUAAAGCGCACGUAGGCGGCUUUUUAAGUCAGGGGUGAAAUCCUGGAGCUCAACUCCAGAACUGCCUUUGAUACUGGGAGCUCGAGUCCGGGAGAGGUGAGUGGAACUCCGAGUGUAGAGGUGAAAUUCGUAGAUAUUCGCAAGAACACCAGUGGCGAAGGCGGCUCACUGGCCCGGUACUGACGCUGACGGUGCGAAAGCGUGGGGAGCGAACGAGG